rnacentral:rRNA from 1 species
GACGAACGCUGGCGGCGUGCUUAACACAUGCAAGUCGAACGGAAAGGCCCUGCUUUUGUGGGGUGCUCGAGUGGCGAACGGGUGAGUAACACGUGAGUAACCUGCCCUUGGCUUUGGGAUAACUUCAGGAAACUGGGGCUAAUACCGGAUAGGAGCUCCUGCUGCAUGGUGGGGUUUGGAAGUUUUGGCCGGUGGGGGAUGAACCCGAGGUUUAUCAGCUGGUGGUUGGGUAAGUGGCUUACCAGGGUUUUGAUGGAUAGCCGCCCUGAGGGGGUGACCGGCUACAGUGGGAAUGGGAUGCGGCCCUGAUUAGUACGGGAGGCAGCAGUGGGGAAUAUUGCACAACGGACGGAAGCCAAAUGCAGAAACGCCGCGUGGGGAAUAACGGCCUUCGGGUUGUAACCCGCUUUAGCCUGUGACGGAGCGUGAGUGACGGUAAUGGGUAAAGAAGCACCGGCUAACUACGU